rnacentral:lncRNA from 1 species
CAACGAUCCUCCUGCUUUGGCCUCGUAAAGCACUGGGAUUCCAGCCCUGUGGAAAUUUUCUCUGGAGAUUCUAAUACCCCGGCCUCCUUGAGGUCAGUGUCUGCCCAGAGCCUCCCGGCAGGAGAGAAGAAACCCCACAGCUCUUUAGGGAAUGCCUGCCUGUCCAAAUGGACAAAGACAAGCUGUGCAGAAACCUCCCCUGGGAGGACUGAGCCAUCACCUGAGGAAUGGGAGUCUGUGGAAACGUGAGUCACCUCUGUGGGAAUAAAGCCUUUCAUCUGGACAUCGAAAUGGCCACCAGCUCCCUGAGUGACUUUGGGCAAGUCAUGCCCCACUCCAAGCCUCAGAAAGCCGACCUGUGAGAUGAGGAUGAAAGUAACCCCCUCAUGGGCCUGCCAUCCCACCACCAUGGCGCACUCCACCUGAAUGACCUUGAGGACUGUGACCGUUGCUGUGUGCAUCUGUGCUGCUUCCCGUUUCAUUGCUGAGUGGUGUUCCUGUAAAUGGAUAUGCCACUGUCUGCUUCUUCACUCACCAGCCCCAGGCACCCCGCCAUUCUACCGACUGUCUCUAUGAAUGUGACUACCAGGAUCAAGGAACUUCAUACCAGUUGAACCAUACAGUAUUUGUCCUUUUGUGACUGGCUUAUUUCACUGAACAUAAUAGCCUGAAGGUUUAUCCAUGUUGUAUGAUGUGUCAGAAUUUCCUUCCUUUUUAAGGCUAAAUAAUAUUCUAUUGUGUGCAGAGAUCAAUUGUCUUUAUCCAUUCAUCUGUUAAUGAACACUUGGGUUGGUUCCACCUUUUGGUUAUUAUGAAUAGUACUGUGAUGAACAUGAGUGCAAAUAUAUCUGUUUGAAUUCCUGUUUUCUUUUCUUUUUUUUGAGACAGGGUCUUGCUGUGGUACCCAGGUUGGAGUGCAGAGGCAUGAUCUUGGCUCACUGCAGCCGCCACCUCCCAGGAGUGAUCCUCCCACCUCACCCUCCCAAAUAGGUGGGACUACCAGCAUGCACCGACACACCUAGCUAAUUUUUGUUAUUUUUUGUAGAGAGGGGGUUUUGUCAUGUUGCCCAGGUUGGUCUUGAACUCCCGGGGUCAAAUGAUCCACCUGCCUUGGCCUCCUGAAGUACUAGGAUUGCAGGCAUGAGCCACCAUGCCCAGACUAAUUCCUGUUUUCAAUUUUAGGUAGUCAUUUGAUUAUUGAGUUGUAGAAAUCUUACUUUUGGAUUAAUAUAUUAAAAACUAUCACCAGUUAGCCAUGUGUUAACUGCUUAGUUUUUCAACCAAACUUCAAUCAUCAGCCAGCCCUCACUUUCAGCCCAGAUCGACGGGCUCAACGCUUGGUGAUCGGUUAACUCCUUGUUUUUUAGCUAAUGCUUUAAUUAGCAAUUACCAUCUUUGUCUUCAGCUAAACAUCAUACUUCUCAAUGCUUUGGUUAUCAGCUAAUGUCUUCUUUUUCAGCUAACACUUUAGUGGACAUUAAUACCCUUGUUAACGUAUGUUACUUCAACCAGAUUAGACCUGGCUGCAUUGGGAAAGGAAAGUGGGGGGCUUGACAAGGAACGUGAAGACAUUAAAGGCAAAACCUCUGAGUUAAUGAAGGGAGUCCUCCAAGAGAGUUCUUUCCUUCACGAGCUGGAGCCUGGCUCUCCAUGAAAGCUUUUUGAAUGAAUGAAUGAAUGGGUGA